UACGGGGGGGGCAAGCGUUGUUCGGAAUUACUGGGCGUAAAGGGCGCGUAGGCGGCCUGUUAAGUCACACGUGAAAUCCCUCGGCUCAACCGGGGAACUGCGUGUGAUACUGACGGGCUUGAAUUCGGGAGAGGGAUGUGGAAUUCCAGGUGUAGCGGUGAAAUGCGUAGAUAUCUGGAGGAACACCGGUGGCGAAGGCGGCAUCCUGGACCGACAUUGACGCUGAGGCGCGAAAGCCAGGGAGCAAAGCGGG
rnacentral:rRNA from 1 species